GGAGUAGUGGAGACAGAGAAGGGAACAGAGGAAGGAUGAUUAAUUAAAUGACAGCGUAUGAUAGAGGGUUUGGGGAAGAAUGGCAGAGGACAGGAUUAGAGUCAAGGCAAUGAAAGAUGAGAGAGUAACACAUGGAUGAUCAGAGGAGUU